rnacentral:ncRNA from 1 species
CUAACGAUCCCUAAAUAGCCUCAGGUGCGUGAGGAUUGGGGUGACAGACAAGUUACCUCCGGGACAACUGGCUUGUGGCUGCUAAGAGAUCAAAUCAACGCAGCUUUUUGAUUCUUCGAUGUCGGCUCUUCCUAUCCUAGUGAUGUACAAGUUGCUAAGGGUCGGAUUGUUCACCCGUAUUAGGGAUCGUGAGCUGGGUUUAGACCGUCGUGAGCCAGGUUUGUUUUAUCCUACUGGAUAUAGCAUCAUGAUAGUAGAUUGAUUUAGUACGAGAGGAACUGUUGAUUAUGGCCUCUGGUUAGCGAUUAUCGGAAACGGUAUGUCGCGCAGCUACGCCGUCUGGGAUAAUGGCUGAAAGCCUCUUAAGCCAGAAGCCCAUCUAGAAAGUGAUGCACGUGAUGUUGGACCGAUACGAAUAAUCAUACUCAAAAGGUCCGCUUCAUAGGUAACCCAAUGUAGAAGACAUUGUGUGAACGAAGGUACUGUAAGCAGUGGAGUGGCAUUACGUCCACGACCUGUUGAGGUUCAGCUUCGCUUCUAGGUUUCC